rnacentral:misc_RNA from 1 species
UCUCCGUAGGUGAACCUGCGGAGGGAUCAUUACAGAGUUCAUGCCCUACCGGUUAGAUCUCCCACCCUAUGUUAUUAUUACUUUGUUUCUUUGGCGGGCCGUUAGGCUCCGGCUCGACUACCGGCCCCGGCUGGUAAGCGCCCGCCAGAGGACCCAAAACCCUGAAUAUUAGUGUCGUCUGAGUACUAUAUAAUAGUUAAAACUUUCAACAACGGAUCUCUUGGUUCUG